rnacentral:lncRNA from 10 species
CUUAAAAUAUUAGUGAAUUUUAAUAAUUGAACUUUAGAAAUGAUGAGAAUUCUAAAAAGCAUGCUCUCGUUUACCAAGCUAAUAUAAAAUAUAUAAGAUACAAAAGUAGAUGAAAUGCUGAAUUACAACUCCUUACUUUGACUGUUUCCUUUAUUCUAGGUCCUCACACCUAAUGAUCUUAUCGCGUUACUCAUUGCUAUUUUGAACCAACUAGGGAUUUUAUUUCCAUGACUAAAUUGAUAAAGAAAUAAUUCUCCCACUACUAUGCCAGAAGUUACGUAUGGUUAGUAAAAUCUCCAAAUUCUUUCAUGCAUUUAUAUCCUUUUCAAUAUUUUUAUCAUGAGUUUAAUUGCCUCUGAUUGUGUCCACAACGGUAAAUUAAUAAUAUGAUGAAAAUAGGUGUAAACAAGACCAAUUAAUUACAAAUGCUUUCUUCAAAGGAUGUAUUUUAAAGUCAGUUUAUUAAAACUCCAGAAAUAUUUUAGAAAAUAACCACCACCAGAAGUCCUAAGCAUAAGAAAACAUACUGUUAAAUAAGAAUAGCCUCUCGAAGUGCUCAGAAUUUUCAAGUUCCCCCUUUAGCCACCAAAUAUUUAAAGUAGUUAUGAUCCUAAGGAAACUUUGCAUAUCCUUCUAUUUGAGUUUGAAAUGCUUUCAAAAGCUCAAGAACACCUGCUGACAAAACAAACACUGACUGUGGCCCUUUAUCCUUAGGUUAUCAUCAAAUAAACUAUCUUUGGGCCAAAAUUACACAAACAACUUCAACAAUGCUAGCCAAAUCAGGUGUGGCCCUUAAAUUUCAACUCACAAAUCAUAACUGCAAUACUAUGAAUAACAUGAGUACUACUUAUGUUACACAUAAUCUUCCAAGCUGCAUACUUAAAUAAUGUAUCAUAAAAGACUCUUAACCUUAGUAGGGAAUACAACAGACAGAAUAGCUUUGCAACCCAGUCAGACCAUGAUUCAAAUCCCAACUCUACUAGCAAAUAAAACUGCGGGCAACCUUUCUAAAUAUCAAUGUAUUCAUUUGUGAAAUGGGAAUACUACUACCUAACAGGAUGUGGAUAGAAUUAAGAAAUAUAAUAGAUACUCAGUAAAUGGCAAAUAUUAUUACUUAUUUUACUAAAUGUCUCUAAAAUAAAAAACAUUCAUUUUACAUAAGACAUAAGGAAAAUAAGUAUGAAGGGAAUAUUACCUAGUGAUAUAGCAGAUAGAUCUUCCUCUAGGAAUAUCUGAAACUAACAUUUUGUUUUUUCCCUAUUAUAGAUGGUGCUGGAUAUUUACAGUUAUCAGAAGAGUAUCUACUUCUAUCUUAACUAUAGUUGAUGGUAGUUUUAUAAUUUUGCAUACUUUGUGCAUGUUCCAGUGAAAACUCCAAAAAACCAUAAAGAAUGUAUCUAGACCAUGGGCUUUAGUCAUACUUUAAAUAAACCUUUAAUAUAACCAAAUGUCUUUAUUAAUGGCAGUUCAAAUGUAUCAAAACUAUUAAACAGGCUGGGCAUGGUGGCUCACACCUGUAAUCCCAA